rnacentral:rRNA from 1 species
CCGGACCGGCGCACGGUGAGUAACACGUAUGCAAUCCACCUGUAACAGGGGGAUAACCCGGAGAAAUCCGGACUAAUACCCCAUAAUAUGGGCUCUCCGCAUGGAGGGUCCAUUAAAGAGAGCAAUUUUGGUUACAGACGAGCAUGCGCUCCAUUAGCCAGUUGGCGGGGUAACGGCCCACCAAAGCGACGAUGGAUAGGGGUUCUGAGAGGAAGGUCCCCCACAUUGGAACUGAGACACGGUCCAA